UAUACUCACAAUCUUGUAUCUAUUGACUGUCUUGUUAGAUUAACCCAAAAAUUUUCAUUCACUCCGCAUAGUCAAUCCUAUAGACACCCUUUUAAUUCUUCAAUCACAGACGUAACUUUGAUUUCACAAAACAGUCAAGAGUAUUCUCACCCACUUCAUUAAAACCCUGAUACACCAGUACAACAUUGACUUCAGCAACAAUUGCCUCAGUCUUCUUAAAACCCUAUGAAGAAAAAAAAACCCCGAUUCUCUGUCUUUUUUCCCCGAAGCAUAAAACUAGCUCUCCGACUCUUGAAAACCCCUGAUUCUCUCCCUCCUUAUUUCUUAUCCUAUCCUCCCUUUUAACCCU
rnacentral:lncRNA from 1 species